AAGUUUAAAUUUAUAUAAAAGACGAGAAGACCCUAUAGAGUUUUAUAUUUUAUUAUAUAUAAUUAAUUUAGAAGUAUUGAUUUUAUUUAUAAUAAUGCAUUUUAUUGGGGUAAUAUAAAGAUUAAAAUAAUUCUUUAAUUUUUAAUUUAUUAAUUUAUAUUUUUUUUGAUCCAUUAAUAGUGAUUAUAAGUUUAAAUUACCUUAGGGAUAACAGCGUAUUUUCUUUAGAGAGUUCAUAUUGAUAAAAAAGUUUGCGACCUCGAUGUUGGAUUAAAGGUUAAUUUAGGUGCAAAAGUUUAAAUAAUUUGGUCUGUUCGACCAUUAAAUCUUUACAUGAUCUGAGUUCAGACCGGCGUGAGCCAGGUCGGUUUCUAUGUUUAUCGAGUUAAUAUAUUUUAGUACGAAAGGACCAAAUAUUAAUUAAAAUAAUUAUAUUUUGAAUAUUAUUAAAUUAUUUUGGCAGAUUAGUGCAAUGAAUUUAGAAUUCGUUUAUGUAAUUAAAUUACAAGUAAUACUUGUUUUAUAUAGAUUAUCUUUUUUUAUUUAUUAUUAUAUUAUUGUUAAUUAUUUGUGUAUUAAUU
rnacentral:rRNA from 1 species